ACAUUGACGCCUCAUUUCUAAUACAGACACAGAGGUGGGUGGUGCUGUCGGUCGUCUCUCUCACUUGCCAGAGCCUUCGUGAGAUGUAAUGAUGGAUCCAGUUACUGUUGUGUUAAAGGCCAGUUUGGUGCAUCAAUGGUCGUUAGCAUGGAUAGUACAACACCUUAUUUAUUGAGGAUGAUGACUUCAAGAUGGAGGAAAUGAUGACCACAAGAGUUCAUCUGGUGACCUGACUCAUGAUGCACCAGACACAAGUCAGGUUAGUAGGUUCUGGACCUUGUCAAGGAGAGGUGUGCACUCUGCUGUACCAUACAUCUUCCCUCACUUGUACUGCUGUACCAGGCUUCUCUCCUCCAAUAUCAGGAUGGCAAGUGAUUCACAACACAACUAAAGGAAGGAAGGAAGGAAGGAAGCAAGCAAGCAAGCAAGCAAGCAGGUGAUACAGCCCAGACCCAGCCAUCCACCCCUCCUUUCUACCUCAGAAAUGUUGUUCUGAACACUGGAGUGCCGUGCUGCCCUAGACUGUGCUUACUGGCUACUGCCUUGGACUUCCCUGUACUUGCUUGCUGGCUGCUGCCCUGGACGGCUCUGCUCUGUGCUUGCUGCCCUGGA